GACGAACGCUGGCGGCGUGCUUAACACAUGCAAGUCGAACGGAAAGGCCCCAGCUUGCUGGGGUACUCGAGUGGCGAACGGGUGAGUAACACGUGGGUGAUCUGCCCUGCACUCGGGGAUAAGCCUGGGAAACUGGGUCUAAUACCGGAUAGGACCGUGCUUUAGUGUGUGCGGUGGAAAGUUUUUCGGUGCAGGAUGAGCCCGCGGCCUAUCAGCUAGUUGGUGGGGUAAUGGCCUACCAAGGCGGCGACGAGUAGCCGGCCUGAGAGGGUGUACGGCCAACAUGGGAACGAGACAGGGCGCAGACGGCCACGGGAGGCCGCAGGGGGGAAUCUUGCGCAAUGGGGGGGAGUCCGGCGGCGCAACGCCGCGGGAGGGAUGAAGGCCUUCGGGGUGUAAAGCUACGUUAAUCGGGACGAAAGGCCUUAUUGCGAAUAGAGAGAAGGAUUGACGGUACCGGAAUAGAAAGCCACGGCUAACUACGUG
rnacentral:rRNA from 1 species